AUGUUGGUUGAAUUCGACCCAAUUAUCAAAGAGCAUGUUGACCGCAUCACCAAUGAUAAAAUUCGUGAUCACUACCUUGGCCCUUCUAUCCAGAAUGAGUUAAUAAGUAUGCUCUCUACUGCCAUCAGGUCUAGAAUCAUUGAAAAGGUAAAGGAAGCAAAAUAUUUCUCAGUUAUUCUUGAUUGUACUCCCGAUGCAAGCCAUCAAGAACAGAUGUCUUUGAUAAUUAGGUAUGUUGAUACAUCUUCUGCUUCUGUUUGCAUUGAAGAAUCUUUCUUAAGAUUUUUGGAGGUGAAUGAUACCACUAGGCAAGGUCUAUUUAAUGUUCUUAAAGAGGAGUUGAAGAAUCUUGGUCUUGAUAUGGACAAUGUGAGAGGACAGGGUUAUGAUAAUGGGUCAAAUAUGAAAGGAAACAAUAAGGGGGUACAAUAG
rnacentral:rRNA from 1 species